CGGGGUGUGGCGCAGCUUGGUAGCGUAUCUGCUGUGGGAGCAGAGGGCCGCUGGUUCAAAUCCAGUCACCCCGACCA
rnacentral:tRNA from 1 species